UGGGGUAUAGCUCAGUGGUAGAGUAUGUGCUUAGCAUGUACAAAGUUGUGGGUUCAAUCCCAGUACCUCCA
rnacentral:tRNA from 1 species